rnacentral:rRNA from 1 species
GACGAACGCUGGCGGCGUGCUUAACACAUGCAAGUCGAACGGAAAGGCCCUGCUUUUGUGGGGUGCUCGAGUGGCGAACGGGUGAGUAACACGUGAGUAACCUGCCCUUGACUUUGGGAUAACUUCAGGAAACUGGGGCUAAUACCGGAUAGGAUCUCCUGCUGCAUGGUGGGGGUUGGAAAGUUUCGGCGGUUGGGGAUGGACUCGCGGCUUAUCAGCUUGUUGGUGGGGUAGUGGCUUACCAAGGCUUUGACGGGUAGCCGGCCUGAGAGGGUGACCGGCCACCUUGGGACUGAGGUACGGCCCAGACUCCUACGGGAGGCAGCAGUGGGGAAUAUUGCACAAUGGGCGGAAGCCUGAUGCAGCAACGCCGCGUGCGGGAUGACGGCCUUCGGGUUGUAAACCGCUUUCGCCUGUGACGAAGCGUGAGUGACGGUAAUGGGUAAAGAAGCACCGGCUAACUACGUG